GGGUUAGGUAAAUGUUUCAUGAUAAUAGGUUAGGUAAAUGUUCCAUGAUAAUGGAUUAGGUAAAUAUUCAAUGAUAAUGAGUUAGGUAAAUGUUCCAUGAUAAUCAUGAUAAUGGAUUAGGUAAAUAUUCCAUGAUAAUGGGUUAGGUAAAUGUUUCAUGAUAAGAAUAUCAUGUCUUUUGUAUUAAAGAAUUAAAUGGAUGAAAUAUGAAGUUUUAUUAAAAGAAAAAAGGGUGAAAAGAACAAAGUUUUGUCCAUCUUUGUUCAUCAUAGCUGAAAGUUAGAGAAGAGAAAGGAGAGGAGAAAGCUCUUGAGUAUUCGAUCAUUAGGAGGAGGAAAAUUGAAGGCGGUUCGUGUGUGGAUCUCGUCAGCAUAUCGUCGCAAAUAGGUGUGUAACUAACACCUCUUUCUUAGUCUAGAUCGGCAAAAGUCGAAAAGUCGAAAUGCCAAAACCGGUAUUUUGUAGAUUUGCGAGUGUGCGAACGCUCGUGAGGUAAAUCGAUUAAUGUUUUUGGUAAGCUGCAAUGUUUGGACUGGAAAGUGCAUGAUUUCUGUGCCCUCGAUAUUUUUGGGCUUAAUGGGCCAAAAUUAGAAUGAUGGGCCAACGGGCCUAAUUCGGUAAGAACCCUCGGUACGUGAUUCUGUAGUACAUGAAAGGUAAGAAUAUGCAUGAAAAACCCUAAAAUAGAUAAAUUACUGAAAUACCUUUACAAGUGAAAAAUUUACAGUUUUACCCCUAGUAGAUGAAUUACCGAAAUACCCCUAGGGUUAAAUUGACCUAAAUGCAUGUUUGACUGUUGUUAUUUAUCGCAUGCCAUAUUAUUAUCGAUGCAUGGACCGGGAUAUUGACGGAGGAAGUACUGAAAGUGGCUUGUCCACGUCUUGGAGGCUUUGCCUCAAUUCUUCGUUAAUCGAGCGAAAUCUGCCGCAACCGUGGAGUGUUAAAUGGGUGGGUUGAGCUAUCCCCACAUGGAGUGUAUGGCUGGUACGGGUGGAGUGUAGUGGUUGGUGGGUUGAGUAGUCUCCCCAAAUGGGCUUGCAUAUGUUUACUGAUGUUGCAUGUAUUUUGAAAUAGGCCUAUGGGCCAUACUAUUAUCUGAAUAAGGGGCUAAGGCCCAGUUAUUGUAAUCUGAAAGGGCUCGCCCAAGACCACUGCACUGAAUGGGCUUAGGCCCAAUAGGCUUGAGUGACUUGGGCUUUGAAGGGUUUUCCUUACACACCGAGUUUCCCCAAACUCACCCUUUUAUUUUCAUCCACGCAGAAAUCCCCAACCAUAGUGGGCUUGGAGUUGUGAGGAAUUGGAGUGGCCACCCGCUCGAAAGUUUGAUUUUCUUCUGGUGAACUGGACAUCCUUUUAUUUACGUUUGAAGUUUUUGGGCUUUUAAAUGUAAUAAGGCCGCUUAAUUAUUUUUAUGGUUUUAAUAUGUAUUACUAAGAUAGGUAAUACUUAUAUUUAACUGUUGAAAUUGGAUAGCUUUAGGGCGCGUUUUCAAAAACAACAGUUGAUUUCAAAAUAACACGACAACAAGCAAAGCUUCCGCAAUGAAA